rnacentral:lncRNA from 1 species
GCAAAUUAACGGGCCUUGCGUGCUAAGCCCACUGGAACCCAUUGGAACCCGUUUACUUCCAAACAAACCUACUCCGACCCUUUCCGUCAUUCAGCAACGACAAAAAACGCAACGCUCUCUCUCUGGAACGCAACCCUGAAUCUGAGCAGUGAGCACAGCAGCCUCCCAUUCAUUUCCGUCACCCAAAUCCCAACUCUCUCUCUCUCAUCUCUCUCUGCGCGCCCAAUUUCUCAAGGUAUUGGAUCUGUCUUUUGCUUUGGGUUUUCUUCGAUUCCGUGCAGUUUUUGUAUCUGGGUAUUGCAUUUUAUAAUCUGAAAUCUGAGUGUGUAUCUGGGUUUGAAUGAUGGAGUUUUUGUUUAUUGAAUUUCUGGUCUUGAUUUCAAUAUGGGUUCUGUUUGAUUGCUGGGAAACUCCACAAUUUUAUACAAUUCUGUGUGUUGUGUUCAAUUUCAUUUGAUUUUCUGAUUCUGGGUUUUGCUUGUGAUGGGCUAUUGCAGAGAUUAGUUCAGCACCAACCGACUCAAUAUCCUACAUCUGAGGAGUUAAGCAUUCAGAAAAUCAAGUUCAAGGCUUUUGUUUUGCAGAGAUUGCUCGCAGAGUUUGGAAAGACUACCAUGCCAAGGUAUUAUUGACGAUUUGACGAUAUAAUGUAAGAUGAUAUACUGAUAAGGCAAAGCUUCUGCAAUUUGAAUUUUGUUGCUGCAUAGCCUGCAUUAAUUGAACACCCAUGCCAGUUGACAAAGAGAUGGAAUUUGAAUAUGGUUGUAGCAUGUUUUUGUUGUUUAUAUGAAGAACUAGAAACUGAAGGAUCCAGAUGAGUUUAUGAGAUUGGUUGAAGUUUUUGUGCUGAGUUGCCUUGCCGUGAUGGAUGAUUUGCAUAGAGUGUGUCACAAAUAGUGUGAUUUUAGGGUCAACACUCUCAACAGUAGGAAAAUUGUACGAAGUCUAGCGAGAUGU